rnacentral:rRNA from 1 species
AUUGAACGCUGGCGGCAUGCUUUACACAUGCAAGUCGAACGGUAACAGCACUUCGGUGGCUGACGAGUGGCGAACGGGUGAGUAAUGUAUCGGAACGUGCCCAGUAGUGGGGGAUAACUACUCGAAAGAGUGGCUAAUACCGCAUGAGAUCUCUGGAUGAAAGCGGGGGACCGUAAGGCCUCGCGCUACUGGAGCGGCCGAUAUCAGAUUAGGUUGUUGGUGGGGUAAAGGCCUACCAAGCCUGCGAUCUGUAGCUGGUCUGAGAGGACGACCAGCCACACUGGGACUGAGACACGGCCCAGACUCCUACGGGAGGCAGCAGUGGGGAAUUUUGGACAAUGGACGCAAGUCUGAUCCAGCAAUGCCGCGUGCAGGACGAAGGCCUUCGGGUUGUAAACUGCUUUUGUACGGAACGAAAAGCCUUCUUCUAAUACAGGAGGGUCAUGACGGUACCGUAAGAAUAAGCAACCGGCUAACUACGUG